rnacentral:rRNA from 1 species
CCUACGGGAGGCUGCAGUGAGGAAUAUUGGUCAAUGGGCGGAAGCCUGAACCAGCCAAGUAGCGUGCAGGAUGACGGCCCUAUGGGUUGUAAACUUCUUUUAUAUGGGAAUAAAAUGUUCCACGUGUGGGAUUUUGUAUGUACCAUAUGAAUAAGGAUCGGCUAACUCCGUGCCAGCAGCCGCGGUAAUACGGAGGAUCCGAGCGUUAUCCGGAUUUAUUGGGUUUAAAGGGAGCGUAGGUGGAUUGUUAAGUCAGUUGUGAAAGUUUGCGGCUCAACCGUAAAAUUGCAGUUGAAACUGGCAGUCUUGAGUACAGUAGAGGUGGGCGGAAUUCGUGGUGUAGCGGUGAAAUGCUUAGAUAUCACGAAGAACUCCGAUUGCGAAGGCAGCUCACUGGACUGCAACUGACACUGAGGCUCGAAAGUGUGGGUAUCAAACAGGAUUAGAUACCCUGGUAGUC